rnacentral:rRNA from 1 species
AGUGAACGCUGGCGGUAGGCCUAACACAUGCAAGUCGAACGGCAGCACAGUAAGAGCUUGCUCUUACGGGUGGCGAGUGGCGGACGGGUGAGGAAUACAUCGGAAUCUACUUUUUCGUGGGGGAUAACGUAGGGAAACUUACGCUAAUACCGCAUACGACCUACGGGUGAAAGCAGGGGAUCUUCGGACCUUGCGCGAUUGAAUGAGCCGAUGUCGGAUUAGCUAGUUGGCGGGGUAAAGGCCCACCAAGGCGACGAUCCGUAGCUGGUCUGAGAGGAUGAUCAGCCACAAUGGAACUGCGACACGGUCCAGAAUCCUACGGGAGGCAGCAGUGGGGAAUAUUGGACAAUGGGGGCAAGCCUGAUCCAGCCAUACCGCGUGGGUGAAGAAGGCCUUCGGGUUGUAAAGACCUUUUGUUGGGAAAGAAAAGCAGCAGGUUAAUACCCCGCUGUUCUGACGGUACCCAAAGAAUAAGCACCGGCUAACUUCGUG